GUAAAAGCGCAUGCAGGCGGCCUGUUAAGUCAGAUGUGAAAGCCCCGGGGCUUAACCUCCGGAAUUGCAUUUGAAACUGGCAGGCUAGAGUCGUUUGUUAGAGGGGGUAGAAUUUUCAGGUGUAGCGGUGAAAUGCGUAGAGAUCUUGAAGGAAUACCAGUGGCGAAGGCGGCCCCCUGGACAAAGACUGACGCUCAGAUCGCGAAAGCGUGGGGAGCCAAACAGGAUUAGAUACCCUGGUAG
rnacentral:rRNA from 1 species